UACGAAGGGGCUAGCGUUGCUCGGAAUCACUGGGCGUAAAGGGUGCGUAGGCGGGUCUUUAAGUCAGGGGUGAAUCCUGGAGCUCAACUCCAGAACUGCCUUGAUACUGAAGAUCUUGAGUUCGGGAGAGGUGAGUGGAACUGCGAGUGUAGAGGUGAAAUUCGUAGAUAUUCGCAAGAACACCAGUGGCGAAGGCGGCUCACUGGCCCGGUACUGACGCUGAGGCGCGAAAGCGUGGGAGCAACAGGG
rnacentral:rRNA from 1 species